UGCCGUUUGGCCACUGAGCUGUUUGUUGAGCGGGUUGCAAUUGUUGUUGCGUGUUUUUGAUAGCACCUUGGUACAGCUCACGUCCUUUUCUUUACUGACUGGCAGAUAGAAGUGCUUGUGCCAGGGAGCUGGAGGGAAACACGCUUGGACAAAUAAGGAUGUGUGGACCAGUUGGAUUUGUGACACCAAAUCGGAUCCAAACUUGUACAAAACACGCCACCUGGAAUUCGUCAGCAAUUCUAUGAUAAAAGUAAAUCUUUCAUCUGAGAAUUUGGCAUACCUUUGCUCGGCUGAGCCAGCAUUAGCAUGAAGCAGCAUGAGACACAACAAUGGGGAAAAAAGCAAAACAGCCAAGUUGACUAAUACUUGGAGAGACACCACAGUCAAACACGAAAGGGAUACACUGCAGAUACAAUGUGUGUUAAACUAUUUUGGGUGAAAUAAAAAUAUUUUUUAUUUAUUAACAUUGCA